AUGAUCUUCUCAUCAGCUCUACUACUGCUGGCAGCAGCUGCAUCCUGUGGUGUUUUCUGUGUUGAGCUCACUCAACCAUCUAUGGUUGUGAAACCUCAAGAAUCAUUCUCCAUCUCCUGCAGGAUUUCAGUAUCAAGCCAUUGCAUUUACGGGAUCCGUCAACCCACUGGAAAAGCACUGGAAUGGCUCGGAUAUCUUUGUAGUGGUGGUGGCACUAACAUUAAAGACUCAGUGAAAAACAAGAUCAGUUUCACCCAGGACACGUCCAAAAACACAGUGUUUCUACAGGGAAAUAAUUUUCAGACUGAGGACACAGCUGUGUUUUACUGUGCCAGAGAGUCCCAGUAA